UUCAGUCAUUGCUUGACCGAGCUUGGGUGAUGCACCCACUUCUUAGGGUGAAGGACUGGCACUCUCAGGGAUGAGUCAUCCUCCAUUCCUGGGUAGUGGAAAGAUUCCUCAGUGCAGGGAAGAGUCUGUUCCUGACCAAACUUCCAAGAGAACCUGACCUGUUUCCCACAGAUGUAUUUAUUACUGGCAUAAAAACCUCAGGAAUUUCCUAUGCCACAGUGGAAGUCUGGGAGAAUCACUGUGUGAAGGUCAAAAUGACCAUUAGAGAAAUUUGAAGACAAAUUAGAAGCUGAGAGGAAAAAAGGAAUUGUG
rnacentral:lncRNA from 1 species